rnacentral:misc_RNA from 1 species
UUAAGGAGUUGGAAUAUAAAAAAAAAUCUUUUACUAUUAACGGUAGAUACUGCAAAUAUUUUGAGAAUACCAUAUAAAGGUAUAAAGCCCUCUUUACUCAAACGUAAAAUACGUUUUCAUAUCUUCCCAUUUCCUACCUUAUUAACAUUAAAUAAACCAUAUUAAACCUGAUCUCAUUUUCUUCUUUCCUCGUCUAUAUAUGUCUUUCCAUCUCCUCUCUUUGCGUUGUUCAACUACCCUACUAAACAUAUAUCAUUGCUACUGUGAUAUGUUUGUAAGAAUCUGCUUAAUAUAAUAUUAAAAAUAUAUUAAAGAGAUAUCUUUUAUCGCUUAUAUCUAACCACUUUAAACGAUAGAUAAAAAGAACAAAUUGAGCAUUUUCACUCAAACUUCAAUAAUCUUUUAUUGAAUUAUUCAAAGGGUAUUAUGGCUAGUGAACAAUCAACAAAUCAGGGCGAUGAUAGAGAAGCUUCAUUAUUUGAGUUAAUGGGAUUUCCGGAUAAUAUGAAACUACGAAUUGCCAAUGAAGAAUGGGCCACCAUUUAUCCAGAUAAUAUUUAUAAAGAUCAGCCGUUCCCUUUAAAAGUAAAGAAAACCGACGUGUUAAAAGACUGCUGUUUCGACGUUAUUGAUAAUAUUGCAGUUUCUACAACAGAUAAAGAUAUUUUGGAGAAAUCAGAAGAGAAUCUUGUUAAAUAUUUAACAAAAGUUUGUUUUGAUGAACUUAAAAAAGUUAGGAUAUUGUUCAGAUGGUUAUCAUCUUUAAAACUACCCGAAUUAUCGUUAGAUAAUAAAAUAGAGAAAUCCGUAUCAUACUAUCUCAAUCAAUUAUAUAGAGAAGAAACAGAUUAUAGUACAGUCUUCCAAAGAUUAUGCAGCUUAGCUAAUUUGAAGUGUUUUAUUUGCGAAGGUCGUAUUAGAACAGAUACGGAUUCGAAUAGAAAGAAUGAUGAUAAAUAUAUUAAAAGUAGAUGGAAUGUAGUUCGCAUCAAAGAUAAUUGGUACCUGUGCAAUCCACAAUUUGCCUGUUCUCACGGAGUUAAAUACGAUAAAGCAUGGUGCCUUAUAAAUGAUGAUGGAACAUUGGAGGAGAUGGAAGAAAAAUUUGAUGAAAAAGCUGAAUAUAAAACAUAUUACAAUUACAAUGAUUACUACUUUCUUACCAAUCCGGAGGAGCUUAUUUACACACAUUUACCCGAUAAUCCAAAAUUUCAACUCUUAGCUAGGAAAGUUACUUUUAACGAGUUUGAGGAAAUGGUUUGUCUUAGGCAACCUUUCUUCGACGCUGGCUUAACAAUUAUCUCUCAUCCAAAACGAAUUAUCGAGACAUCUGAUCCAAAACUAGAGAUAUUUAUAGGGACAAAUAGCGAUAUUCCAGUCUCAUUUAGACACCAAAUUUGCCUUUUAAAUGAUAGCAAUUCUGGGGAGAAUUCUACAAUAAAAGCGGAACCAAAUGUUGAUCUACAAUCAUAUGUAACACUAUUCCAAGAUAGGCUCAGAUUUAGGGUCGUUAUUCGAUUGAGACUUCCCAAGAGUGGUAUUUAUAAAUUAGCUAUAUUCCUUCGUAACGAAAAAGAUGAAAUUCUACAACGGAGCGUCUAUAAAAGUGCAUGCGACUAUGAAUUGCAUUAUACAAGAAAGACUGAUGAUGUAAACAUUCACUCAUUCCCAAUAACUGCAAAAACGGAAUUGGGUCCAAAUUCUGAUAUGGAAAAAUUUAAUUUCUCAAAUAUAUCGCCAACAAUUGGUAUGAUAGAUACAGAUGAAGAUGGAUAUGCCGAGAUCAAUUUCGACGGUGAUGAUAAAAUAUUCAAUAUAUUUUCUAAAUUGGAAAACCAACAAAUUGGUUUGGAAGACCUAAAAAAUAGUCUAUUGUCUACUUUCGAGAAUGGUAGAGCUAGUAUUCGUGUAUUCGCUCCGCAAGAAGGUGAAUACGCCCUAAACAUUUACGCAAAGAAGAGAGAUGAAAUUGAUAAGGAAAUGGAUCCAGUUUGUUCAUAUAUUAUCAAUUGUAAAACUAAACCGAAAAGGAAUAUAAAAUUUCCACAUGAAUUUAACAGGAAAAUUGGUAUACAGGAAAAAUUUAUUGAAUUUGGAUUAAGGACUGAAUCGGAUUUUCAAUCAUUUCAAAAACUUAAUAAGAAAUCAACGCAAUUUAAAAUUUAUAAGUCAAAAGCUUGUAAAUUUAAUUUAGAGCUUUUACAUUGGGAUUUGUACGGCGCUGAAAAUAUUAUUAAUAAUUGUGCAUACUGCAAAAACGAAAUGGAUUAUUCAACAAUUUCUAUCAAGUUUCCAUCGCCUGGGAUUUAUAAAUUGACUGUUUUUGUCGAUCAAGUGCCUGACGGAAGUCAACUGUUACCUGUUUACAUUUGCUAUUUUCUUGUAUUAGACGAAAAAGAAGUCAAAAAGAAAGAAGAUGAAUCAUCAAAUAAUUACGACAACAACGAAAAGAAUAGCCCGAGGAAUAGGGAAGAAGAUUGGGAAAGUAAAAUGGAUGAAAUCCUUGGUGUAACAGAUUUUAUGGAAAUGAAUGAAGUUGACGGUGUGUUUAGGGAAGGUGAAAAAGUUGGUUUUACAAAUAACAAAGUAAGUCUAGUGGAAAAAAAAACGACUGAAAAGAAGCCGAAUUUAAAGGAUUCUUGUAGGAAAAACACCGCGGACAAAAGUAAAUCUACUUUAAAUAGAUUGCAAACGGCUUCUCCUUUUCCUUCGUCCAAAACACGAUCAGUUAAAAGUGCUAGAGAUACUUCGCAAAGAGAAACUAGCGCUAAAUCCUCAGUUUCGAGACAAUUAUUCGAUAAAAAUACUGUAAAUAUACCAGAUAAAAGUAGACCUUCAACUGCUAAAGAUUCUUCUGUAAACGUUGCCAAAUUAAAAUCAGACCUUUUAAAGGCAAUUGCCGAAACGAAUUACGAUUUAUUAAAAGAACUUAUAAAAAUGACUUCUGGUAAAGAAUAUAUGAAAGAACUAAGUAAAGAAAUAACAAUUGGAAUGGAAAUGUUACGAACGAUGGAUAAGAUAAAAAGAAUUCAAUUGAAAAUAUUAAAGAUUGAUCCGAGAUGUAUAAGCGAAAUUAGAAAAUAUAGACAACCUCCAGAAAUUGUACACGCAGUUAUGAAAUCGACAUUAUUGAUCUUAGGAAUACCCGAAUCGAAUACUAGCGAAUGGACAAAUUGCCAAAAGUACAUUUCCGUAGUUAGUUCCGAUGGUCUAUUUAGUAAAAUACGAAGUAUAGAAAUACCAAAGGUGAAUGCAGAUGUUAUUUCAAAAGCGGAACAAGUUUUAAAGAAUAUUUCGUUGAACGAAGUAAAGAGAACAAGUGCAGGAGUUGCAGCUUUCUACGUAUGGAAUAAGAGUAAUAUUUAUCAUUAUAAGAGCUUAAGAGUAAAUGAGCUUUGUUAGCAAAAAUAUAUCUACUGCAUACAGUUUCAUCCAAUCGGUUGUACAUAUUGUUAAAGAAACAAAACUUACGUAUUAUCAUUUGAAUGAAUUGAAUCAGUGUUCAAGUUUAUUUAAACUGUUCAAAAGAGAGUGUUUUGUUCCAAAGAAAAUGAAAACCUCUUCAUUCUUUAAUUAAUAUGUCUAAUGAAUUUAAAUAAUGAAAAAUGAAAAUAUACAGUUAAUUUUAAUUAA